rnacentral:SRP_RNA from 1 species
GCUGGUCAUGGUGGUGCAUGCCUGUAAUCCCAGCUACUUGGGAGGCUGAGGCAGGAGAAUUGCUUGAACCCAGGAGGCAGAGGUUGCAGUGAGCUGACAUCGUGCCACUGCAUUCUGGCCUGGGUGAUAGAGUGAGACUCCGUCUCAA